rnacentral:lncRNA from 1 species
ACAAUGGUGGGAGAGCUUCACUUAUAGCUAUUACAGGAUAUGUAGAGUGUUAACGGAUUGGCAAGCGUACCAAAUCGUUCAAGUAAUAAUAAAAUGGUAAGUCCAAGUAUCGUUUCCCAAGAGACUCGAAAGGCCUUAUCGUUCGUGUGAAUUAAGAUCGUAAGACUUUAAAAUAAAAAUUAAUUAAUUGGGUAUGAGAACAAAAUAUAAACAUGCAAAAGAGAUUGAUUCAAUUGACGAGAAGAAAAUGAUGGAUGAAUGGAGUUGUUGGGGGUUUACAAUUUCAUCUUAUCCGCUCUCUCUUAUUUACUCCUCUUGAUUUAUUUGCUUGAUUAACUAAUUGUUAUGCAACUUUCUUGGCCUACCCUUAACUCGAUCCCUCGGCGAAAAGAGCCUAUUACUAAUUACUAGCUUGCUAUCCCUAGCCUCCCCUAGCAAUUUAUAAUGCAUUAUAGAGAAGAAGUGAAAAACAAUUGAUCGUCCUACCCCUAUCCCUAGGUGGUAUUUCUUAAUCAAGGAAUCACUCACCAGUUCAUGACAUUACUGUACGUCCCCGUAUCAAUAAAGACAAACAACAGUUAUCGAAUGAGUUAAACGAUAAAAGCAUUAAGCACAGAUGAGAACCCAACAAUUAAUAAUCAAAGCAUAUGGAAAUCAUAUAAAUAAACAAGAGUUUCAAUAAAAGAGAGUAUCAAAAGAUUACAUUGUUUCCC